GGAAAUGUAGCUCAGUGGUAGGGCCCUUGCCUGGUGGGCAGGAGGGCCUGGGGUCCACCUCCAGUACUGCCA
rnacentral:tRNA from 1 species